CAAUUUAUAUAUCACAUCGCAGUCUGUUUCACAUAAUAUUGAAUGCUAACAUAGCUCAAAAUGUUGGGAUUAAUAGAAUACUGUUUGGCGGGGUAUCUUGAAGGCACUAAAGAAGAACAGAAUUGUACAUGUCUAUUAAAAAAUACAUCUGUAAGUUUAAAUUGAAACAACAUUGAAGAGAUGGUAGAAUCAUCAUAUGUAUGUCAUGACCCUGUUGAUUUUUACAUAUUUUAGUGUAUAUCCUAUUUUCUGAAACAUUUUAAAUGACUUUGACCACACAUGUGUAUAUCUAACCAAGUAAAUUUUAUAUGAUCAAUUGGUAUGUUCUUAAAUUAAUACUGUAUAAAGUAAAUGUAAAGUUAAAAUAUAAUUCCUACUUCUUUCUCAUAUUUAUUGUAAAAUAUACAAUAUACAGAAAGUAUACAUUAGUAAUUCACUCAGCCACACAAACCUUUUAAUGUAGCUAGUUCAUUGACAUAAUUUAGUGAAAGGAAUAUUAACUAUUAUUAUUUUUUAACGAUAAUUAUAGUAUUAAAAACUGAUUUAAAUACAAUUAAUGCUACCUAACACUCAGUCCUCUCCUGUUGCAGAUUCAGCAAGAUGGAACAGACUUUCAGGUUGUCUCAACAAGUAUGCAAAAAACAAUAUCUGAUAUGUUGGCUUUGAAUGAAACUACUGAAACUG